AGUGAACGCUGGCGGUAGGCCUAACACAUGCAAGUCGAACGGCAGCACAGGAGAGCUUGCUCUCUGGGUGGCGAGUGGCGGACGGGUGAGGAAUACAUCGGAAUCUACUCUGUCGUGGGGGAUAACGUAGGGAAACUUACGCUAAUACCGCAUACGACCUACGGGUGAAAGCAGGGGACCUUCGGGCCUUGCGCGAUUGAAUGAGCCGAUGUCGGAUUAGCUAGUUGGCGGGGUAAAGGCCCACCAAGGCGACGAUCCGUAGCUGGUCUGAGAGGAUGAUCAGCCACACUGGAACUGAGACACGGUCCAGACUCCUACGGGAGGCAGCAGUGGGGAAUAUUGGACAAUGAGCGCAAGCCUGAUCCAGCCAUACCGCGUGGGUGAAGAAGGCCUUCGGGUUGUAAAGCCCUUUUGUUGGGAAAGAAAUCCAGCUGGCUAAUACCCGGUUGGGUUGACGGUACCCAAAGGAUAAGCACCGGCUAACUUCGUGCCAGCCGCCGCCGUAA
rnacentral:rRNA from 1 species